rnacentral:ncRNA from 12 species
CAGUAGUGCUGUGACUGACGGGUAUACGCGGGCAACCGCGGGGGAGCAGCGCGAACAUACUCAGUGCCGACCGUCUGGGCAAGCCGU